rfam:Lepisosteus oculatus linkage group LG4, whole genome shotgun sequence.
GCCAGCAGCCAUAUCACCCUGCAGCUCUCAACUAGCUACCCAGUGAAGCUAAGUAGGGUUGAGCCUAGUCAGUACCUAGAUGAGGGACCUCCUGGGAAGCUAUGGUUGCUGCUGGAA